GAAAUGCGAUAAUUAAUGUGAAUUGCAGAAUUCAGUGAAUCAUCGAGUCUUUGAAUGCACAUUGCGCCCCCUGGUAUUCCGGGGGGCAUGCCUGUCCGAGCGUCAUUGCUGCCCUCAAGCACGGCUUGUGUGUUGGGCUUCCGUCCCUGGCAACGGGGACGGGCCCAAAAGGCAGUGGCGGCACCAUGUCUGGUCCUCGAGCGUAUGGGGCUUUGUCACCCGCUCCCGUAGGUCCAGCUGGCAGCUAGCCUCGCAACCAAUCUUUUUAACCAGGUUGACCUCGGAUCAGGUAGGGAUACCCGCUGAACUUAAGC
rnacentral:misc_RNA from 1 species